UAGGGAAUCUUCCACAAUGGACGCAAGUCUGAUGGAGCAACGCCGCGUGAGUGAAGAGGGUCUUCGGAUCGUAAAGCUCUGUUGUUGGUGAAGAAGGAUAGAGGCAGUAACUGGUCUUUAUUUGACGGUAAUCAACCAGAAAGUCACGGCUAACUACGUGCCAGCAGCCGCGGUAAUACGUAGGUGGCAAGCGUUGUCCGGAUUUAUUGGGCGUAAAGCGAGCGCAGGCGGAAUGAUAAGUCUGAUGUGAAAGCCCACGGCUCAACCGUGGAACUGCAUCGGAAACUGUCAUUCUUGAGUGCAGAAGAGGAGAGUGGAACUCCAUGUGUAGCGGUGGAAUGCGUAGAUAUAUGGAAGAACACCAGUGGUGAAGGCGGCUCUCUGGUCUGCAACUGACGCUGAGGCUCGAAAGCAUGGGUAGCGAACAGGAUUAGAUACCCUGGUAGUCCAUGCCGUAAACGAUGAGCGCUAGGUGUUGGGGACUUUCCGGUCCUCAGUGCCGCAGCAAACGCAUUAAGCGCUCCGCCUGGGGAGUACGACCGCAAGGUUGAAAC
rnacentral:rRNA from 1 species